GCGCACGGUGAGUNACGCGUAACGUACCUACUCUGACAUGGAUAGCCUGAAACUGGAUUAUACCGAUAUUAUUCUGAUUAAUAAGGAUUGGAAUGAAGCUGAGGCGGUCAAAAUUGGGUGUGCGUCUGAUUACUAUUGGUAGGGUACGGGCUACCCAGGGCGAUGAUCAUAGGGCGUGAGAGCGUGGUCCCCCCGGUUCUGUAACACGGACCCGACUCCUACGGGAGGAAGAAUUUUGGUCCAUGGGGAAAGCUGACAGCAUCACCGUGCAGGAAGAAGGCCUCAUGGGUUGUAACUGCUNUUAUCAGGGAAGAAACCUCUGGGUUCCUCCGGACUGUACGGUCCUGAAAAUAAGCACCGGUUAACUCGUGCCAGCAGCCGGGGUAAUACGGAGGGUGCGAGCGUUAUCCGGAAUUACUGGGUUUAAAGGGUGCGUAGCGGUUUGUAAGUCAGAGUGAAAGUUUGGGUCAACCGUAAAAUUGUUCUGAUACUGCAUAGCUAGAAAUUAGGAUGAGGUCNGCGGAAUUGUUGGCAUGUAGCGGUGGAAAUGCAUUAGAUUUGCCCUAAAAACACCAAUUUGCGAAAGGCAGGCUGGCUAAA
rnacentral:rRNA from 1 species